rnacentral:lncRNA from 1 species
CCUAGGUGCUCUUUCUUGAAGGCCCCACAGAACCGUGACUUUGUGACACCCUCAUUUUUCUGUGUCUCCAGAGUCAGAAGCUACUUCAGCCAGAUUCCUUUCCAUGCUGCCUCCUGCUGCCCAGCUCUGGGGGUGUGAGGAGGACCCCAUGGGCAGGUCUUCCUCCUCCAACCAGCAUCCCUCCAUAGGGUGUGAAGUCCCUGCAACCAAGGGGAUGUGCCCUCUGGGAGCCUGAAUUCCACUUCUUGAUGAUCACACUAUGGGAUGUGGCAUCGCAUGGCCCACGGGCGCUGCUGCGGGAUGGAAACUGAGGCUUGGAGGGGAUACAGGCAUGCAGGUGCACAUUUGCUCCCUGGGUACAGCUGAGUUUCAAAUGGGAAGAAAGGGAAUUAUUCUCGUUUGGGGUUUUGUGCAGAAGCUUGGGCCAUUUGUGUCCAGGAAUCUUGUGAACUUCAAGAGCUUCUGCAGGGAGGACACCUCCCCAUCUCGGGGUGAGGACCUCCUGUCCCUAAGGGACUCAGCCUCUCCAGCUGACGGCAGCUGUGCUGGCGGGUUCCUGCCAGGGGAGGGCUGAGCCGUGUUCCGGAUGUGGGAGAGUGUUGUGAAAACAGGAAAGCUCCCAUUCCUGGAAUGGUCUGUGAACGUGGGAAACCAUUAACCUACCCGACAUCUGAAGACCAAGAGCAGCUCAACUUUCAGAGAUUGUUAACACACCUUCCGAUGCCCCUUUCUAGGCAGGAUGGUUGUUUGAUUAAGUCCCACUACCUGGGGUGACUUUUUUUGAACAGGAAUUGCUUUUUCAAAUCCAGAGAAGUAGGAUUAAAGUUGGAUGUUCUCUGUCCUUGAAAGAGCUGGUAUUAGGAUAAAUUCAAAGAUGACUAGCGGGAUCCCUGGGUGGCGCAGUGGUUUAGCGCCUGCCUUUGGCCCAGGGCGCGAUCCUGGAGACCCGGGAUCGAAUCCCACGUUGGGCUCCUGGUGCAUGGAGCCUGUUUCUCCCUCUGCCUAUGUCUCUGCCUCUCUCUCUCUCUCUCUGUGUGACUAUCAUAAAUAAAUAAUAAAAAAAAAUUAAAAAAAAAAAAGAUGACUAGCUAUACAGAAUGGGGAGCAAACUGAAGAAUGAGGCUCAGAGCUGUGCUCCCCGGAGUGGUCCUUGAGCGGCAUCAGAACCGGCAAGUACCUCUGGGGGUGGCCAGGAAUCUGCAUUCCAUUUUAUUUUAUUUCUUAAAGAUUUUAUUUAUUUAUUCGAGAUAGAGAGAGUGAGUGAGACAGAGAGCAUGAGCAGGGUGAGGGGGAGAGGAAGAAGCAGGCUCCCGGCUGAGCAGGGGGCUAAUGCGGGGCUCAAUCCCAGGACCCCGGGAUCAUGACCUGAGCUGAAGGCAGAUGCUUAACCCAGGUGCCCCCUGCAUUCCAUUUUUUAAAAAUAUAUUUUUUAAAUUUAUUCAUGAGAGACACAGGGAGAGAGAGAAGCAGAGGGAGAAGCAAGCUCCAUGCAAGGAGCCCGAUGCAGGACUCGAUCCCGGGACCCCA